rnacentral:rRNA from 1 species
UACAGAGGGUGCGAGCGUUAAUCGGAAUUACUGGGCGUAAAGGGUGCGUAGGUGGUCACUUAAGUUAGAUGUGAAAUCCCCGGGCUUAACCUGGGAAUGGCAUUUAAGACUGAGUGGCUAGAGUUUGGUAGAGGGAAGUGGAAUUUCCGGUGUAGCGGUGAAAUGCGUAGAUAUCGGAAGGAACACCAGUGGCGAAGGCGACUUCCUGGACCAUCACUGACACUGAGGCACGAAAGCGUGGGGAGCGAACAGG